rnacentral:rRNA from 1 species
CUACGGGCUGCACCAGUGGGGAAUAUUGCACAAUGGGCGCAAGCCUGAUGCAGCAACGCCGCGUGAACGAUGAAGGCCUUCGGGUUGUAAAGUUCUUUUCUUAGGGAAGAAUAAAUGACGGUACCUAAGGAAUCAGCCCCGGCUAACUACGUGCCAGCAGCCGCGGUAAUACGUAGGGGGCAAGCGUUAUCCGGAAUCACUGGGCGUAAAGGGAGUGUAGGCGGUCAAGCAAGUCAGGGGUGAAAGGCAUCGGCUCAACCGAUGUAAGCCUUUGAAACUGUUUGACUUGAGUGCAGGAGAGGUAAGUGGAAUUCCUAGUGUAGCGGUGAAAUGCGUAGAUAUUAGGAGGAACACCAGUGGCGAAGGCGACUUACUGGACUGUAACUGACGCUGAGGCUCGAAAGCGUGGGGAGCGAACAGGAUUAGAUACCCCCGUAGUC